rnacentral:rRNA from 1 species
GACGAACGCUGGCGGCGUGCUUAACACAUGCAAGUCGAACGGAAAGGCCCCUUUGGGGGUACUCGAGUGGCGAACGGGUGAGUAACACGUGAGUAACCUGCCCUUGACUUCGUGAUAACUUCAGGAAACUGGGGCUAAUACCGGAUAGGAAUCCUUGCUGCAUGGUGGGGGUUGGAAAGCUUCGGCGGUUUGGGAUGGACUCGCGGCUUAUCAGCUUGUUGGUGGGGUAGUGGCUUACCAAGGCUUUGACGGGUAGCCGGCCUGAGAGGGCGACCGGCCACAUUGGGACUGAGAUACGGCCCAGACUCCUACGGGAGGCAGCAGUGGGGAAUAUUGCACAAUGGGCGGAAGCCUGAUGCAGCAACGCCGCGUGCGGGAUGACGGCCUUCGGGUUGUAAACCGCUUUCAGCAGGGGCGAAGCUUGUGGUGACGGUACCUGCAGAAGAAGCACCGGCUAACUACGUG